UUUAUGGAGAGUUUGAUCCUGGCUCAGGAUGAACGCUGGCGGCGUGCCUAAUACAUGCAAGUCGAGCGAACGGAUGAGAAGCUUGCUUCUCUGAUGUUAGCGGCGGACGGGUGAGUAACACGUGGAUAACCUACCUAUAAGACUGGGAUAACUUCGGGAAACCGGAGCUAAUACCGGAUAAUAUUUUGAGCCGCAUGGUUCAAAAGUGAAAGACGGUCUUGCUGUCACUUAUAGAUGGAUCCGCGCUGCAUUAGCUAGUUGGUAAGGUAACGGCUUACCAAGGCAACGAUGCAUAGCCGACCUGAGAGGGUGAUCGGCCACACUGGAACUGAGACACGGUCCAGACUCCUACGGGAGGCAGCAGUAGGGAAUCUUCCGCAAUGGGCGAAAGCCUGACGGAGCAA
rnacentral:rRNA from 1 species